UCUUUCUUCUUCCUCUCUCUUCUCACUCUCUCCGCUCUUCUUAGAGACCAGCCGUCCACUGCCCAUCUCCGCCGGCCGGAAAUUGCCGCCGCCGGCAGACGUCGUCUAAAGCCCAUAAAACCUAGACCAGUCUCUUCCUCUCACUCCCCUCUUUCCAAAUCCAUGAACCAAAUCCUCCAAAUAUUCACCAAUCUACAUAAAUUCGUAAAAAGAACCUAGCUUCUUUUGUCCCCAAAUUGAUGAAGUUCCACGCCCCAUUUUCAGAUAAUACUUGCAUAAACAUGUAUGUCUUGCUUUGUUCUAUCUCUCUGUAUUAGUUUCUAUCCCAAAUCCGACGACCAAAAUACGGCCGAAUUCCGGCGGCCACUCCACUAUCCCGCCACUACUGCCUUACCACUGCCUCAUUCUUUAAGCCUAUUCGAUCGGAAGACUCACGUUUCCUUCUAGUAUGACGCUAGAACAUAUUUGUUUCGGUGUCUACUAAAAGGAAGCUUGCGUUUCGGGGUCGGACAUUCAUUGGUUGAUAUCCUCGGCAUCUUUUAGUUGUGCGAUUUGGCCUUGAAUGUCCCUGACUGUUGCAGUUACACAAAGAGAAGAAGCGAGCAACAGCAGCAGUUACCACAGCGGCGAUCAACUGAGGACGAACCACAUUUAUCUUCCCGAUUUCAAAAAUUCAGCAAUCUAAUCCAAAAAAAUGACAUAGAUAAACAGUAAGUUGUAAUUUCAUGUGUUUCUAUCAAUUUUUAUUUCGCUAUAGUUAUACUUUUUUAGAUCUGUAUUGAUUUGAUUAUAUAUUAGAUAAGAAUUUGAUUUUUUUUGAA